UGCAAGCCGAGCGGUAGGGUUUCUUCGGAAACCUGAGAGCGGCGCACGGGUGCGGAACACGUGUGCAACCUACCUUUAUCAGGGGGAUAGCCUUUCGAAAGGAAGAUUAAUACCCCAUAAUAUAUUAGAUGGCAUCAUUUGAUAUUGAAAACUCCGGUGGAUAGAGAUGGGCACGCGCAAGAUUAGAUAGUUGGUGAGGUAACGGCUCACCAAGUCAGUGAUCUUUAGGGGGCCUGAGAGGGUGAUCCCCCACACUGGUACUGAGACACGGACCAGACUCCUACGGGAGGCAGCAGUGAGGAAUAUUGGACAAUGGGUGAGAGCCUGAUCCAGCCAUCCCGCGUGAAGGAUGACGGCCCUAUGGGUUGUAAACUUCUUUUG
rnacentral:rRNA from 1 species